rnacentral:lncRNA from 1 species
GUGAUUCUUUUUCUUCACUAACUUAGAAUCCCUAUUGGGCCAAGGUGGGGUUUGCAUUUUAUUGCUUUUUGACCAUAUAGAUAUUUUGAAAAGCACAAACAGCUUUCCACUACAGCAGAAACAAGCUUCUUUUGUGACCUUAGUUAGUUAAUUCGCGUAUAAUACGCGAAUUAUUCGCGACCAAUUGAAAAAGCGUAUAAAACGCUCCGUCUAUGAAUUUUUUCAAAAUAAUCGGAAUAAAACGCGUUUUUUUUACUUGCUCAAAAUAUUCGCGAUCAAAACGCUAUUCGCGAAUUAUAUUCUGAAAAAUUCGGAUUUAGCGGGCGGUGAAACGAUGAAAUUUUUCAAACAAAAUUGGAUUUGGCUGCCGCGGAGAUGAAAUUUUUCGAACCAGCGUCCCGCGACCAUCGCUUCGUAAAUCCGUGCACCUCCUCCGAGCAGUCGAGCAAUUUUGCUUCUUUAUUUUGAGGAAAUCAUGGAGGCGGAGUGAGCGAAGAAGAAGAAGAAAGGAAGAGGGACGAGGGUGAUAAAAAUCGCGGCCCACCGCGUUGGGAAAAAGCGCGGUCCACAAGGCUGCACUCAGCCUCGUGGACCGCGCGGGGUGGAGUGUGGACAGAUCGGUUGGGAAAAAGCACGGUCCAUGAGGCUCACUUAGCCUCAUGGAACUUGCCGUGGUGAACAACCUCGCGGUAUGGGAAAAAGCGUGGUCCACAGGCUCACUAAACCCGUGGCGCGUGGACAUCCCCACUUCAAAUAUAUAUUAAUAAAUAUAUAUAAUAAUAUAUUAUAUUAUAUAUAUGUAAUUUUAUAAAUUAUUUUAUAUUAUUUUAUUUUUAUAUUUAUAAAAAUUAUAAUUAUUUAUGAAAAUAGUAUAAAUCUAAAAAAAAUUUAAUUUAAUAGGCGAAUUUUUAUUCCGAAUUUUUAAAUAAUAAAUGUAAAAUUCUCGUAUAAAUCGCGUAUACGAAUUAUUGACAAAUCCGAUUUUUAAACCGUAUUUUUCAACGAAUUUAAAAAUCAAGAUACGAAUUUUAUUCGUAUUUUAUCCGUACCGAAUUUUUACCGUAUCCGAAUUAACUAACUAUGUUGGUGACUAUUUGGCCUUAGUUUGUAGGGUAUAUAGUGUUGAAAAUGUUGAUUGAUUCUUCAUUGAAGUCCCUCGUAACAGUUACUUUUUUUGCAGUAGAAGCAGAAGCUCCAAUUUGGUGCUUCUACUGUAGGGCCUCAAAAUCUCAUUUCUGCUUCCUAUCAUAGAAGAAUUUCGAAAUUGUUUCUAUUAGCUAGACACUUCAUAAGAGAUGGCUGCAAGACUUUAUUGUUUUACUAAAACCGCUAAUUGCUGCUUCUUAGAAUUGAAAAGCUGUUCAAUAAUCU